rnacentral:rRNA from 1 species
AAUCAACGCUGGCGGCGUGCCUAACACAUGCAAGUCGAACGCCAAAGCCCCGCAAGGGGUAAGUAGCGUGGCAAACGGGUGAGUAACACGUGGGCGACCUACCUCAGAGUGGGGGAUAACCUUCCGAAAGGGAGGCUAAUACCGCAUGACAUCCUAUGUUUGGAUACAUGGAGAUCAAAGCCGGGGAUCGCAAGACCUGGCGCUUGGAGAGGGGCCCGCGUCCGAUUAGCUAGNGGUGAGGUAACGGCUCACCAAGGCUUCGAUCGGUAUCCGGCCUGAGAGGGGCGGACGGACACACUGGGACUGAGACACGGCCCAGACUCCUACGGGAGGCAGCAGUGGGGAAUUGUUCGCAAUGGACGAAAGUCUGACGACGCAACGCCGCGUGGAGGAUGAAGACCU